UACGUAGGGAGCAAGCGUUGUUCGGAUUUACUGGGCGUAAAGGGCGCGUAGGCGGCAAUUCAAGUCAGCUGUGAAAUCUCCGGGCUUAACUCGGAACGGUCAGCUGAUACUGCUUUGCUAGAGUGCGGAAGGGGCAAUCGGAAUUCCAGGUGUAGCGGUGAAAUGCGUAGAUAUCUGGAGGAACACCGGUGGCGAAGGCGGCAUCCUGGACCGAGAUUGACGCUGAUGCGCGAAAGCCAGGGGAGCAAACGGG
rnacentral:rRNA from 1 species